AUGGGUGGCUACGGCGACUUGUUCGAGAAGGCCAAGCCUUACAUCGCCAUGAUCUGCCUGCAGUUCGGCUACGCCGGCAUGAACGUCAUCACCAAGGUCUCGCUCAACGGCGGCAUGAGCCACUACGUGCUCGUCGUGUACCGCCACGCCUUCGCCACCGUCUCCAUCGCGCCAUUUGCCCUAAUUUUCGAGAGAAAGGUGAGGCCGAAGAUGACGUGGUCGUCCUUCCUCCAGAUCUUCGUGCUGGCACUUCUCGGGCCUGUGAUCGACCAGAACUUCUACUAUGUGGGUCUCAAGUACACUGGCCCGACCUUCGCAUGCGCCAUGAGCAACAUCCUUCCAGCCAUGACCUUCGUGAUGGCCUUCAUCUUCAGGAUGGAGAAGGUGGACCUGAGAAAGGUGCGGUGCCAGGCGAAGGUGGCCGGGACGGUGGUGACGGUGGCCGGCGCGAUGCUGAUGACGCUCUACAAGGGCCCGCUGAUGCGGAUGGCGUGGACGAGCCACGGACAGGCCCACGGCGGCGAGGCCCCGGCCGUCGAUCCCACGGGCAGGGAGUGGUUCCUCGGCUCGCUCUUCAUCAUCAUCGCCACCCUCGCCUGGGCUUCUCUCUUCAUCCUCCAGGCUCACACCCUGAAGCAGUACUCGGCACCGCUCUCCCUUACCACGCUCAUCUGCUUCGUCGGCACCCUCCAGGCCAUCGUCGUCACCUUGGCCAUGGAGCACCGCCCCUCCGUCUGGACCAUCGGCUUCGACAUGAACCUCCUCGCCGCCGCAUACGCCGGCAUCGUGACGUCGAGCAUAGCAUACUACGUGCAAGGCCUGGUGAUCCAGAAGACCGGGCCGGUUUUCGCGUCGGCCUUCAGCCCGCUGAUGAUGAUCGUGGUGGCCGUGAUGGGCUCCUUCAUCCUCUCCGAGAAGAUAUACCUGGGCGGCGUCCUCGGCUCCGUCCUCAUCGUCAUCGGGCUCUACUCCGUGCUCUGGGGAAAGCACAAGGAGACGCAGGCAGAGUCUGCGGCUCUGCGGGAGGCCAUGGCCUCCAUCAACUCCAAGGGAGACGGAGACGCCGUACACGGGCACGAUCCUGAGUGCGAGAAAGCCAACGGAGCACCCAAGCCAUCCUCCAACGGACACGGAGCUAGUGCAGUCUGA
rnacentral:rRNA from 1 species